UACGUAGGUGACAAGCGUUGUCCGGAUUUACUGGGCGUAAAGAGCGCGUAGGCGGGCUGACAAGUCUGGGGUGAAAUGCCGCGGCUCAACCGUGGAACUGCCUUAGAUACUGUCGGCCUCGAGGAAGGUAGGGGCAUGCGGAACUGUAGGUGGAGCGGUGAAAUGCGUUGAUAUCUACAGGAACUCCGGUGGCGAAAGCGGCGUGCUGGACCUUUUCUGACGCUGAGGCGCGAAAGCUAGGGGAGCAAACGGG
rnacentral:rRNA from 1 species